rnacentral:rRNA from 1 species
CCCUGGUUCAUCUUGAUGGUAGUCAUAUAUGCUUGUCUCAAAGAUUAAGUUGUGCUAAUGAAAGGAUAUAUGCAUAUUUUUAUAUGCAGAAAGUGCUAACAUUUCAUUAAAACUGUUAUAAAUCUACUUGGCUUUUUCUUUAUAGGGAUAACUACGGAGAAGCUGUAGCUAAUAUUUGCUAUAGUACUCUUGAUUAACUGCUUGGGUGCGUAUUUGUCAAGUCUUUUAAGAAGAAAGUUUUAAUAGCUUUAUGAAUGAUAACAACGAAGCGUGAGACAUAAACAGAUUCGUCCAUUUUUUAGUGUGUAUCAAUCGAGUUUCUGACCUAUCAGCUGUUGAUGUUAGGGUAUUGGCCUAACAUGGCUAUAACGGGUAACGUGAAAUUAGAGUUCGAAACCGGAGAGGGAGGCUGGGAAAUAGUUACCACAUCUAAGGAAGGCAGCAGGCGCGUAAAUUACCCAAUUCUAAAGAAGAGAGGUAGUGACAAGAAAUAACAAUACAAGGCCAAUCUGCUUUGUAGUUAGAAUGAUGGGAAUUUAAAACCUUCCCAAAACUCAAUUGGAGGGCAACUCUGGUGCCAGCAGUCGAGGUAAUUCCAUCUCCAAUAGCGUAUAUUAAAAUUGUUGCAGUUAAAAGGCUUGUAGUUGAAUUUCAAAGAAUCGAUAUCUUAAGUAACGCUUUUUAGCUUAAUCCACAUAACUCAUACUUGGUAUCGACUUUGUGCGCAUUUUGUUAAUUACUUGCUCUUUUAAUUAAAAGGAUUCUUUUUAAGAUCUUUCUUUUUUGCUUCGGCAUUUUAGGAGAUCUUGUUACUUUGAGUAAAUUAGAGUGUUCAAAGCAAACAGAUUAUAGCAUCUUUAUGCGUCUGAAUACUAAAGCAUGGAAUAAAAAAAUUGAAGAAACCAGAAUUUUUGUUAUUUUUUUUCCUAUUUUGGCUUAGUUACGAUUAAUAGGCCUAACUUGGGGGAAUUCGUACUCAGAUGCCAAAGGUGAAAUUCUAAGAUUUUCUGGAGACAAACAACUGCGAAAGUAUUUGCCUAAAAUACUUCCAUUAAUCAAGAAAGAAAGUUAAGGGAGUGAAGAUGAUCAGAUAUCGUCGUAAUCUUAACCAUAAACUAUGCCGACUAGGCUUUGGAUGAAAGAUUUUAAAAUUAGAGUUUUUUCUCUGAGAAGUUAAAACUCUUAGAUUUGCUUCCGUCAGUGUCUUAUGAAAAAUCAAAGUCUUUGGGUUCUGGGGCGAGUAUUCGCGCAAGCGAGAAAGUUAAAAGAAUUGACGGAAGGGCACCACCAGGCGUGGAGCUUGCGGCUUAAUUUGACCCAACACGGGAAAACUCACUAGUUUAAGACAAGAGUAGGAUUGACAGAUUAAUAGCUCUUUCUUGAUUUCUUGGAUGGUGAUGCAUGGCCGUUUUUAGUUCGUGAAUAUGAUUUGUCUGGUUAAUUUCGAUAGCGAACGAGAUCGUAACCUGCUAAUUUUCGCCAAAUACGACAUAUUCUUAUGCAGGAUUGAACCUAAUUGAUUUGUUUAUUUCGAAGUGCACAUAUGAGGAUCGUGACUAUGUGACGCGUUAGUAUUCUUCUGUCGAUUCACUGAUGCGACACAUAUUUCUCGUUCUUUCUUCCUUGAGCUUUUUAAUUCGCUUAUCCUACAGUUUCUUUUUUUGUGCAAGAAUGCAUUUGCUUUGGGCAUAAAGCUUCUGAGAGUAAUGGUAUGUGUAUAACACAAGGAAGUUUAAGGCAACGAAACAGGUUCUGGGAUGCCCUGAGAUAAAAUAGCCUGCACGCGUGCUACACUCAUAUAUACAAGGUGGUUAAAUAGAAAUAUGCUUCUACUUGCAGUUGCAUGCUUUUCCUCCACUGCAAAGUGUAGUUAACCUUUAUUAUUACAUAUCAUGAUGAGGAUAGAUUAUUUCAAUUAUUAAUCCUGAACGAGGAACGUCUAGUAAGCGCGAUUCAUUAAAUUGCGCUGACUACGUCCCUGCCCUUUGUACACACCGCCCGUCGCUCCUACCGAUUAGAAGAUAUGACGAAUUGUUUGAACACGAAGAAAGGGGAUUAUUUAUCCUUUUUGCUCUGAAAAAAGUCGAAAAUCUUAUCUAUUAAAGGAGGGAGAACUCCUUAUAAGGUUUCCCUAGGUUCACCUACGGAUGGUGUUUCU